rnacentral:rRNA from 1 species
AUUGAACGCUGGCGGCAGGCUUAACACAUGCAAGUCGGACGAGUGGCGGACGGGUGAGUAAUGCUUGGGAAUCUGGCUUAUGGAGGGGGAUAACGACGGGAAACUGUCGCUAAUACCGCGUACCAUAGGAUGAGCCCAAGUGGGAUUAGGUAGUUGGUGGGGUAAAGGCCUACCAAGCUGAAGAUCUCUAGCUGGUCGGAGAGGAUGACCAGCCACACUGGAACGGAGACACGGUCCAGACUCCUACGGGAGGCAGCAGGGGGGAAUAUUGCACAAGGGGCGCAAGCCUGAUGCAGCCAUGCCGCGUGUGUGAAGAAGGCCUUCGGGUUGUAAAGAACUUUCAGCGGGGAGGCGUUACCCGCAGAAGAAGCACCGGCUAACUCCGGGCCAGCAGCCGCGGUAAUAC